rnacentral:lncRNA from 1 species
AGGAGUAUUGUAACCCACACUGGAGCUUCCACUGCUAAAGCUGGAUCUAAUGCACAUGGUGACAAAAGGAAAAGGCCAGUCUCCAAAAACAAGUAGGUGGUACUGUGCUGGUUUGUUUUUUUCUAAUGUUAACUACUCUUCCAUGUUACAGCCAAAUGAUCUCUCUGUCUUCUCCAGGGCAUCCAAAAGUAACAAGAAGACCGCCAAUGCUACUGGUGUUGUAGUUCAAGCUGAUACCAAUGAUCUCAAUCAACCUACCAAUGAUCUCAAUCAACCUACCAAUGAUCUCAAUCAACCUACCAAUGAUAUAAAUCAACCAAGACCUUUGGUUACCUUGAAUGAUUACAACGAGUACGCAACCAAUCUUCUAUUGUUGUUAUAUCUUUGCAUGUCUACUGUGCCCUGAGUUACUUCCUAUUGUGAGAUGUACUUUGGUCACAUAUUACUGUGCCCUUUCUCAAAACAUAAAACACCAAAUUUAGAGCCCCUAUUUUAUUAUUCAAAAGUAGCCUUCUCUGCAAAUUAAAUAUAUGCCAACUUCAAGAGGAG